rnacentral:rRNA from 1 species
CUGGCGGCGUGCCUAACACAUGCAAGUCGAACGAGAAAGUGGAGCAAUCCAUGAGUAAAGUGGCGACCGGGUGAGUAACACGUGACUAACCUACCUCCGAGUGGGGAAUAACUCCGGGAAACCGGGGCUAAUACCGCAUAACAUCGCAAGAUCAAAGCAGCAAUGCGCUUGGAGAGGGGGUCGCGGCUGAUUAGCUCGUUGGCGGGGUAACGGCCCACCAAGGCGAAGAUCGGUAUCCGGCCUGAGAGGGCGCACGGACACACUGGAACUGAAACACGGUCCAGACUCCUACGGGAGGCAGCAGUGGGGAAUUUUGCGCAAUGGGGGAAACCCUGACGCAGCAACGCCGCGUGGAGGAUGAAGCCCUUUGGGGCGUAAACUCCUUUCGACUCGGACGAUAAUGACGGUACGAGUGGAAGAAGCACCGGCUAACUCUGUGCCAGCAGCCGCGGUAAUACAGAGGGUGCGAGCGUNGUUCGGAAUUAUUGGGCG